rnacentral:rRNA from 1 species
GACGAACGCUGGCGGCGUGCUUAACACAUGCAAGUCGAACGGAGUGGCGAACGGGCGAGUAACACGUGGGUGACCUGCCCUGCACUUCGGGGUAAGCCUGGGAAACUGGGUCUAAUACCGGAUAGUGUGGGAUGGGCGGGCGGCCUAUCGGCUUGUUGGGGGGGUAAUGGCCUGCCAAGGCGGAGCGGGGUAGCCGGCCUGGGCGGGUGGACGGCCACAUGGGGACUGAGACACGGCCCAGACUGCUACGGGAGGCAGCAGUGGGGAAUAUUGCACAAUGGGCGGAAGCCUGAUGCAGCGACGCCGCGUGGGGGAUGACGGCCUUCGGGGUGUAAACUCCUUUCACCAUCGACGCGGUAGAUGGAGAAGAAGCACCGGCUAACUACGUGCCAGCAGCCGCGGUAAUUC